GGUCCGGUAGUUCAGUUUGGUAGAGCAACGGACUGAAAAUCCGUGUGUCGGCGGUUCGAUUCCGUCCCGAGCCACCA
rnacentral:tRNA from 1 species